UACGAAGGGGGCUAGCGUUGCUCGGAAUUACUGGGCGUAAAGGGAGCGUAGGCGGAUAGUUUAGUCAGAGGUGAAAGCCCAGGGCUCAACCUUGGAAUUGCCUUUGAUACUGGCUAUCUUGAGUACGGAAGAGGUAUGUGGAACUCCGAGUGUAGAGGUGAAAUUCGUAGAUAUUCGGAAAGAACACCAGUGGCGAAGGCGACAUACUGGUCCGUUACUGACGCUGAGGCUCGAAAGCGUGGGGAGCAAACAGG
rnacentral:rRNA from 1 species